CUUUGUUUGUCCUGCCCUCUGAGAACACUUGGCAAUAACAUUCCUUUCCUGACAGGUUCAUUUUUGUAGCCCUUAGACAUUGUUUUCUUUCCCUUGUUUACCUAAAGUGGCCCAGAGCAAUAGGGCAGGCUGUGCCAAUGAGAGAGGAAAGCCUGCCCUAGUGGCUGUUUGAUGGUCAUCACACCCAGGUUCCUCUGCCCUAUAAUUUUUUGUCCUGACUCUGUUGCCCCACAGGUGAGGAGAAGUUUCCAGAGAAUGUCCUGCCUGGAGCAGAACACAGACAAACUGGACCUGUGGAGGAGCUAAGAUGACCAGGAGGCCCAGAAGGAAGACUCCAAGAGGUCCUUUGACAUAGGGCAGGUCAAGCGAGAAAGGAAGCCAGGAGCAGCGGAAGCUGGUAGCUAGGUUCCCAGCAUCCUCAGGGAACACAGAGCAGGGCAGCAAAGCAAGGAGAAUGGUCUGAAUGGAGACACCAAACAGAGAAGGACAGGCACAGGGGCAUCUGCCCCUGCCACCACUACAGGCACUCCCACGUGACCACAAGAUUCUGGGGAGUGAACGCCAUGCCCAACACAGGACGGCUUGGACAUGUGAACUAAAACCCUCAUUCGAAGGCCUGCUGGGAAAGAGUGGAGCUCUUCAGAGACAAGGCUCGGCUUAAUCGUGAUAUAAGUGAGAACAAGGCAUCAAUGGACUAGGGACCAUAAACUCACCCAGGGACAUUUUGAAGCACAGAGAAGAGUCCAGUCAAGGCCAGCUUCCAUAUAUCCAAGUGUUUAAAAGUUAAGUCAUCAAACAAGCAAAGUCUUCAAUCUCUUCUCCUGACUUGACAGACAUCUUCAUGACUUCCUGAAGGUCAAGUGUGAAUUGAGAAUUUGGAGUCACAAGAGCUCCAGAUGAAACUGGGUGGUGGUGGCACACGCCUUUAAUCCCAGUACUUGGGAGGCAGAGGCAGGUGGAUCUCUGUGAGUUCGAGACCAGCCUGGUCUACAAGAGCUAGUUCCUGGAUAGCCUCCAAAGCCACAGAGAAACACUGCCUUGAAAACAACAACAACAACAACAACAACAACAACAACAACAAAAACCAAAAAACUCCAGAUGGAAUGUGGGAUUCAGCCCCUAACCCUACCUAGUACUAGAAGAGAUCUUUAAAUUUUUAAAAUUACAUUUGUAUUUGUUUGGGGUAUGGGUGUGGGUGUUUGUGGCGGGGGGGUAUAUGCACCAUGGUACACAUGUAGAGGUCAAAGGACAACUUAAGGGCUUCUUCUUUCCAUCAGUCCUGGGCAUAGAACUCAGGUCUUCAGUCUUGGCGGCAGGUUCCUUUAUCUGAUGAGCCAUCUCAUCAGCCCUAAAGGGGUUUUAAUCACAAACAUGUAAACACUUACUAUGAGUCCUAGCCCUACUACUACCUACCACACCACCCCUUUGUCACCCCAAAGACCUGUGGCUAUAUACACCAGUGACAUAAUUCACCUGCUUUGGCAGACCAGACUUCAAUUAAUUAGAGCCCCUCACUGACUGAUUUAAGCUCAGAAACUCAGUCAGGGAAUUUCAGAACUGUAAAGCAAGAUCAAGCAGUGUGUUCUUGUCGAAUCUGUUUCUUUAUCCCAAGAGUACUCUGACUGUGGCUGGAGCAAAAUCCUAACAUAUGGACUACACAGUAUGGGCCAGUCUUGUGACCACCAAACCAAGGCCAGAGCCUGUCAGACAUGAGGUCAGCCAGUGGGAGUUCAGAAGAGGAUCUCUGGAAUUUCCUAGAAGGGUCCUCAUGGUGUCUUUGUGCCUCCUGUGGCUAAGAUUGGGUGUCUGCCCGUGACCUCAUGCCUCCACACAGGUCCCAUGGGUGUCAAGCAGGUGUCACCAUCUCAGGCUCCCAACACAGUGGAGCUUAUUAUCUUAUUAUCUUCCUCUCUCACUCCUUAACUCUAAUUUCCACUGUCCUGUGCUACUUGGCUGACCUCCUUGGCAGAGAUGUGACAAAAGGAUGUGUCUCUAGAGGUUCAGAUCCCUCAGCCAUCAGAACCCAAAGUUUCCUUGAGGCCACAUGAGCUAAAGGGCGAGAGUCCUACCCUCCAAUCACUCUGACCAAUCACGGUUUCCUUUCACCUCGUCUGGGUUGGUGGAUGUCAUUCAAAGUAGGCUGGUUCAUCUGUGCAGGCAGGGAGCAAGCCCCUUUUCUUGCCUGCACAGAUUCUCCUCACAGCCUGAGAUAGCCUUCAUUGCAGUUCCCAGCAUCCUCACAAGCCCUUACAAGCUAGCCUCCACCCUGGGCUCUGCCUCUCCCUCCCGUGUCUACUUUUUUAACCCCACACGACUGUUCUUAUUUCUACCCAAAUCCUUUCAUCCUUGAAGUUGUGUUUGGAGCCUUCCUCC
ensembl:lncRNA